rnacentral:rRNA from 1 species
UGAGGAAUAUUGGUCAAUGGACGCAAGUCUGAACCAGCCAUGCCGCGUGCAGGAAGACGGUCCUAUGGAUUGUAAACUGCUUUUAUUUGGGAAUAAACCCCUUUACGUGUAGAGGGCUGAAGGUACCAAAUGAAUAAGCACCGGCUAACUCCGUGCCAGCAGCCGCGGUAAUACGGAGGGUGCAAGCGUUAUCCGGAAUCAUUGGGUUUAAAGGGUCCGCAGGCGGUCCUAUAAGUCAGUGGUGAAAGCCUACAGCUCAACCGUAGAACUGCCAUUGAUACUGUAGGACUUGAAUGUGGUCGAAGUGGGCGGAAUGUGUAGUGUAGCGGUGAAAUGCUUAGAUAUUACACAGAACACCGAUAGCGAAGGCAGCUCACUAGGCCAUAAUUGACGCUCAUGGACGAAAGCGUGGGGAGCAA